GCUUACAGUAGUAAAGUUUAGCUGAGGAGGGAUCAAAAUCACUCAGUGAUGGAAUGGCAAGGUGCUGUUGCAUAGCUGGUGAGAGAGUUUACACAUGUGCAGACUUUCAGACGUGAUUGACAGAGCAGUGUGUGUGAAUCAAACCCCGCGUUCUGUUUUGCAGUCACAAAGAACCCUUUCCCUUUGAAACCCAAGAAGGUCCCCUUCUCUGGACCUGUGGAGGGAAUUAGGCAGCAAAUAACCACGAAUAUUUUUUUUUAAUCCAUUAAAAGUUUAAUUGAUGAAGCAUUUAUGGAGUAUUUAGGAAUUUUAGGAUGGCUUUCUUAACCUACCUUCCAAACGCAGCCACCUGUGGAGCAGCACUAAUGCUAACAGAACUCAGGGUCCCAAAGGAGACCAUGAACACUUCUGUCAGAGGACAGCAAGAGUCUCAUUGAAUGAUAAACUAGGGCUGCUGCCCUCAUGCUUCUUGUGCCAAAGGGUCAGCAGGCAUCCUGUGGGAGCUGCUCCCAGAGCUUACACAAAGAAGUGGAUCUGAGCAGUGCAACGGGUGGAGUGUGCUGGACAACAUGAUACUCUUCCCAGAUCUUCCCUACGGAUGAAGGACAAAUUCCUCUUGCUGCUGGGAACGCUCCUGGAAGAUGGCUCUCAGCUGUUAGCCCCUUCAAGAGAUUGCUUUGGCUGAGGAAACUUCCUUGCCCAAAGGACAGCUUACAUCCAACGACCCAUCAAUGAGGGGGUAUGAAGUUUUGUCCCCUCAUCUCAAUUCAGUUAAACUCCGAAGACCUAUCUCCUAGGGCCACACCUCCCUGGGGGACAAGCUGAGGACUUUGUUGGAAUGCAUUGCAGCUCAACUUCUGCCUCUGCCCAAUCUUGCUUCCUUUCUCCCCCUUCAGCAGAUGUUGAUACCAAGCAUAUGCCUUAAUAAACAUCCUGUAUGCUAAUCUCCAUCCCAGAGACUGCUUCUUGGGGAACACUUUCAAAACUGAAUCAAGACCAUCCAGGCCUGUGGCCAACAGCCAACUGAUCUCUUUGAGGGAAGCAGUGAAUAGACUGGUGUUCAGAUGUGCCCUCUUCAGUUCACUGGGAAUUCCUUCCUUGAUGCUCACAGAGGUGGAACUUCACCAAAACGGAUGCCAAUGUGCUCUCCCACUUUACAUCUUGGCUCACAAAAUAAGUCUUGUUCAAAUGAAAAUAGUCUUCAUGUAGAGCAUGGAUUUACAGAGAUAAACAGAAAUCAGGUAGAGCAUAGCUCAGUUAAAAUAAGUCUUGUAGAUUGUGGUUACGAUUACACAACGUUAUAUAUUUAUUUAAUGCCACUGC
rnacentral:lncRNA from 1 species